rnacentral:tRNA from 4 species
UCCGAUAUGGUGUAGUGGCCAACAUGAUGCCCUCUCAUCUCUAUGAGAGGUUAGGCAUAGCCCCGAGUUCGAUUCUCGGUUUCGGAA